rnacentral:rRNA from 1 species
UACAGAGGGUGCAAGCGUUGUUCGGAAUUACUGGGCGUAAAGCGCGUGUAGGCUGCAAUGUAAGUCGGAUGUGAAAGCCCUUGGCUUAACCAAGGAAGUGCAUCUGAUACUGCGUCGCUUGAGUGUCGGAGGGGAUGGCGGAAUUCCCGGUGUAGAGGUGAAAUUCGUAGAUAUCGGGAGGAACACCCUGUGGCGAAAGGGC